AAUCCAUGCAUCGGACAUUUCUGAAUUAAAUCUUUAAAUCAUUCCCAGGCUUCAUAUAGUGUUUCAUCCUCUAAUUACCGACAAGAUAUGAUGCCAUUUCUAAGAUU
rfam:Gossypium raimondii chromosome 3, whole genome shotgun sequence.